GACGGGUGAGUAACACGUGGGCAACCUGCCUGUAAGACUGGGAUAACUUCGGGAAACCGGAGCUAAUACCGGAUAAUCCUUUCCCUCACAUGAGGGAAAGCUGAAAGACGGUUUCGGCUGUCACUUACAGAUGGGCCCGCGGCGCAUUAGCUAGUUGGUGAGGUAACGGCUCACCAAGGCAACGAUGCGUAGCCGACCUGAGAGGGUGAUCGGCCACACUGGGACUGAGACACGGCCCAGACUCCUACGGGAGGCAGCAGUAGGGAAUCUUCCGCAAUGGACGAAAGUCUGACGGAGCAACGCCGCGUGAACGAUGAAGGCUUUCGGGUCGUAAAGUUCUGUUGUCAGGGAAGAACAAGUACCGGAGUAACUGCCGGUACCUUGACGGUACCUGACCAGAAAGCCACGGCUAACUACGUGCCAGCAGCCGCGGUAAUACGUAGGUGGCAAGCGUUGUCCGGAAUUAUUGGGCGUAAAGCGCGCGCAGGCGGUUCCUUAAGUCUGAUGUGAAAGCCCCCGGCUCAACCGGGGAGGGUCAUUGGAAACUGGGGAACUUGAGUGCAGAAGAGGAGAGCGGAAUUCCACGUGUAGCGGUGAAAUGCGUAGAGAUGUGGAGGAACACCAGUGGCGAAGGCGGCUCUCUGGUCUGUAACUGACGCUGAGGCGCGAAAGCGUGGGGAGCGAACAGGAUUAGAUACCCUGGUAGUCCACGCCGUAAACGAUGAGUGCUAAGUGUUAGAGGGUUUCCGCCCUUUAGUGCUGCAGCAAACGCAUUAAGCACUCCGCCUGGGGAGUACGGCCGCAAGGCUGAAACUCAAAGGAAUUGACGGGGGCCCGCACAAGCGGUGGAGCAUGUGGUUAAUUCGAAGCAACGCGAA
rnacentral:rRNA from 1 species